UAGCCAGACGGGCCGGCUCAUGUUUAAAUGAAUUAAAGUAAAUGAAGCUAAACAUUCCAUCCCUCAUCACACUAGCCACAGUUCAGGUACCCAGCAGGUGCAUGUUUACAACACAGAGCAUUUCCAUCCCGACAGACGGCUCUCCUGGGCAGCUGCUCUGAGCCUGGCCCAGGGUGUGCUCAUGGAACCCACCUAACCCACCAUGUGUCCGUCACAGUGGGAAGGUCAGGUUGGUUCGUGCCCAGGUGAGAGCUAUCACGAUCCAGUGCAGCUGGGGAAGUGCCCGGUGAAGGUGGAUCCUUUCUCUCAUUUGCAGGUUUGCAAGGGUGGUCAAUGUCUCCUUGAAGGACUCUGACUCCACCGAGCCCAGGGAAGGUCUGAGGACCCAGAGGAAGGACAGCUGAUGCCGGGUGGGCCAGCAUGGGCUCAGCUGGAGCAGCAGGGACAGGGGAGACCCUCUCUCUAGUACCCUGCUUGCUCAUGCUUGUGUCUGUAAAGAUUGGAUUGUCCACUGAAGAUAUGAUUCGAGCAGCGAGGAUGAAGAACCCCUAGCUACCAAGAUCACACAAUUUUAAAACAAGAAUUAUUCCAUCAGGAAUCUGAUUCCAGAAAUCCUCCUGUCGUGGAUGAAAGAGAAUGUGUCAAGAAAGAAGGGGCAUGGAGUGGAACAGGAGGAGGAAAUGGAGUGCAGAGAGGCAGGAGGAAGUGCAGAAGGCAAUCAAGUGCCCUUCAGGGAACCUGGACGCCCAGGAGCUCGCUGGGGCAGCCCACAAUGCACGUGACCUUGCGGGAGGACCUGAAGGUUAUGGCCACGUGCCACAAGUGAAGGGUGUACUGACAACAUAGCCCAGGGAGCAGAUAGCCAUGCCCUGCCCAGCCCUAACUUUGUUGGGACACUGACUCCUGACUCCACGAACUCCUGGAUUUGGGCGACAGGGCUGGAGGCCCCUGCGGGGCCACAUGGAGCAGGUCACAUUGUGUUCUCUGGGAAAGGUGUCCCUGGAGGGUUCAACAUCUCAGUCCUGCAGGACCCUAUGCUGCCCAACCCUCUCAAGGGAAACAGUGAGCACAUCAGCCACUCAACAAGGUGAGAUAGUGCAGGGUGGGCUGGGUUUUUCCCAGGUCAGGCUCCAGGGGAAAGAGGGAGGAGGACAGAGGCCGGGGGUCUCCCUGUGAAUCAAGGAAGGUGGUUCCCCUGGCUCAGCUCCGCAUCCUCAUGGGCACAGAGCAGCCUGUGUUUAGAUAGGGGCCACAGCAGCCUCCAGUCCGGCCUGGGAGUUUCCCAAGGCCAGUCACCCCCCCAAACCCUUCAGAGUCCUCUGGACGCCCUGGGUCACCUUGUGGCACCAUUUCUCAGACUGGGAUUCUACAGAUUUGUCAUAUAUGCAGAAAAACCAAAGAGAGCAGACAAUUUUGAAGCAAAUUCAAUGCCGUGCUAACUUGGAAUAUGUUAAGGAGUAAGGUUUUCCAGUUACUUACAUUUCUCUUUCCAAUUUUGUAAAUAAAUAUAAGAAAUAGAACUUGUAUUAUA